GAUGAACGCUGGCGGCGUGCCUAAUACAUGCAAGUAGAACGCUGAAGCUUGGUGCUUGCACCGAGCGGAUGAGUUGCGAACGGGUGAGUAACGCGUAGGUAACCUGCCUGGUAGCGGGGGAUAACUAUUGGAAACGAUAGCUAAUACCGCAUAACAGUAGAUAUUGCAUGAUAUCUGCUUGAAAGGUGCAAAUGCAUCACUACCAGAUGGACCUGCGUUGUAUUAGCUAGUUGGUGAGGUAACGGCUCACCAAGGCGACGAUACAUAGCCGACCUGAGAGGGUGAUCGGCCACACUGGGACUGAGACACGGCCCAGACUCCUACGGGAGGCAGCAGUAGGGAAUCUUCGGCAAUGGGGGGAACCCUGACCGAGCAACGCCGCGUGAGUGAAGAAGGGUUUCGGAUCGUAAAGCUCGGUUGUAAGAGAAGAACGAGUGUGAGAGUGGAAAGUUCACACUGUGACGGUAUCUUACCAGAAAGGGACGGCUAACUACGUG
rnacentral:rRNA from 1 species